rnacentral:rRNA from 1 species
UACGUAGGGUGCGAGCGUUGUCCGGAAUUACUGGGCGUAAAGAGCUCGUAGGUGGUUUGUCGCGUUGUUCGUGAAAACUCACAGCUUAACUGUGGGCGUGCGGGCGAUACGGGCAGACUGGAGUACUGCAGGGGAGACUGGAAUUCCUGGUGUAGCGGUGGAAUGCGCAGAUAUCAGGAGGAACACCGGUGGCGAAGGCGGGUCUCUGGGGCAGUAACUGACGCUGAGGAGCGAAAAGCGUGGGGGAGC